UCUCUCUCUCUCUCUCUCUCUCUCUCUCUCUCUCUCUCUCUCUCUCUCUCUCUCGCUAGGCUGCUCCCAAGUGACAGAGUUUCUUUUCACUCUUGUAUGGCCUGGGGAGGAACUGAAUUUUGAAUCUAUUCUUCAUCUAGGUCACAAGGGGAGCCAAGACAGCUGAAAGAACCACUUGAUCUUUCUCCCUCUCCCUGUUCCUUUCUCUCUCACUCUCAAUUCCUCUCCCUCUCUCUUUUUGCAAGCUGCAAGCCUAUAAUAACAGGUUUCAAGGUUGCCAGCACUGCAGAAGCACCUUUGUACGGGAAGACGGAAUAAAAGGGCUGGAGGUGACCUUGAAGAAGAAGCUUGAAGACAGAUGGUGAGCUUGGUGGCACAGUGGACAGACAGAGCUUUGAAC